GAUGAACGCUGGCGGCGUGCUUAACACAUGCAAGUCGAACGAAGCACUUCAAUCGAUUUCUUCGGAAUGAAGUUUUAGUGACUGAGUGGCGGACGGGUGAGUAACGCGUGGGUAACCUGCCUCACACAGGGGGAUAACAGUUGGAAACGGUCGCUAAUACCGCAUGAAGUGUUCGGAUGGCAUCAUCUGAACAUCAAAGAUUUAUCGCUGAAAGAUGGGCUCGCGUCUGAUUAGAUAGUUGGUGGGGUAACGGCCUACCAAGUCGACGAUCAGUAGCCGGACUGAGAGGUUGAACGGCCACAUUGGGACUGAGACACGGCCCAGACUCCUACGGGAGGCAGCAGUGGGGGAUAUUGCGCAAUGGGGGGCAACCCUGACGCAGCAACGCCGCGUGAAGGAUGAAGGUUUUCGGAUUGUAAACUUCUUUUAUUAAGGACGAAACUUGACGGUACCUCUAGAAUAAGCCACGGCUAACUACGUG
rnacentral:rRNA from 1 species